GUGGGGAAUAUUGCACAAUGGGCGAAAGCUUGAUGCAGCAACGCCGCGUGAGUGAUGAAGGCCUUCGGGUCGUAAAGCUCUGUCAGAAGGAACGAAUACCCUGCGGGAGUAAUACCCCGCAGGUUUGACGGUACUUUCAGAGGAAGCACCGGCUAACUCCGUGCCAGCAGCCGCGGUAAUACGGAGGGUGCUAGCGUUGUUCGGAAUUACUGGGCGUAAAGCGCGUGUAGGCGGACCUAGAAGUCGGGUGUGAAAGCCCUGGGCUCAACUCAGGAAGUGCGCCCGAAACCAUAGGUCUUGAGGUCCGGAGGGGAUCGGGGAAUUCCCAGUGUAGAGGUGAAAUUCGUAGAUAUUGGGAGGAACACCGGCGGCGAAGGCGCCGAUCUGGACGGAUUCUGACGCUGAGACGCGAAAGCGCGGGUAGCAAACAGGAUUAGAUACCCUGGUAGUCC
rnacentral:rRNA from 1 species